rnacentral:rRNA from 1 species
GUCUAGAGGCUUCGACAAUGCCCGAAAGGGUGAUCGAGCGAUGCCGCGUGCGGGAUGAAGGCCUUCGGGUUGUAAACCGCUUUUACCUGGGAAGAACGCCCGUCUCGUGAAGAUGGGUUUGACGGUACCAGAGGAAUAAGCCCCGGCUAACUCCGUGCCAGCAGCCGCGGUAAGACGGAGGGUGCAAGCGUUGUUCGGAAUUACUGGGCGUAAAGCGUAUGUAGGCGGCAAGUUAAGUUCAAUGUUAAAGCCCACGGCUCAACCGAGGAGAUGCAUUGAAUACUGGCUAGCUAGAGGGUGUUAGAGGAAGACGGAAUUCCCAGUGUAGCGGUGAAAUGCGUAGAUAUUGGGAGGAACAUCGGUAGCGAAAGCGGUCUUCUGGGACAUACCUGACGCUGAGGUACGAAAGCGUGGGGAGCAAACGGGAUUAGAAACCCUGGUAGUCC